UGGGGAAUAUUGCGCAAUGGGCGAAAGCCUGACGCAGCGACGCCGCGUGAGGGAUGAAGGUUUUCGGAUCGUAAACCUCUGUCAGAAGGGAAGAAACCGCACUGUGCUAAUCAGCAGUGCCUUGACGGUACCUUCAAAGGAAGCACCGGCUAACUCCGUGCCAUCAGCCGCGGUAAUACGGAGGGUGCAAGCGUUAAUCGGAAUUACUGGGCGUAAAGCGCACGUAGGCUGCUUUGUAAGUCAGGGGUGAAAUCCCACGGCUCAACCGUGGAACUGCCUUUGAUACUGCUUAGCUGGAAUCCGGGAGAGGGUGGCGGAAUUCCAGGUGUAGGAGUGAAAUCCGUAGAUAUCUGGAGGAACAUCAGUGGCGAAGGCGGCCACCUGGACCGGUAUUGACGCUGAGGUGCGAAAGCGUGGGGAGCAAACAGG
rnacentral:rRNA from 1 species